UGGGGAAUAUUGCACAAUGGGCGCAAGCCUGAUGCAGCCAUGCCGCGUGUGUGAAGAAGGCCUUCGGGUUGUAAAGCACUUUCAGCGAGGAGGAAGGUGGUGAACUUAAUACGUUCAUCAAUUGACGUUACUCGCAGAAGAAGCACCGGCUAACUCCGUGCCAGCAGCCGCGGUAAUACGGAGGGUGCAAGCGUUAAUCGGAAUUACUGGGCGUAAAGCGCACGCAGGCGGUUUGUUAAGUCAGAUGUGAAAUCCCCGGGCUCAACCUGGGAACUGCAUUUGAAACUGGCAAGCUAGAGUCUCGUAGAGGGGGGUAGAAUUCCAGGUGUAGCGGUGAAAUGCGUAGAGAUCUGGGGGAAUACCGGUGGCGAAGGCGGCCCCCUGGACGAAGACUGACGCUCGGGUGCGAAAGCGUGGGGCAGCAAACAGGAUUAGAUACCCUGGUAGUCCACGCUGUAAACGAUGUCGAUUUGGAGGUUGUGCCCUUGAGGCGUGGCUUCCGGAGCUAACGCGUUAAAUCGACCGCCUGGGGAGUACGGCCGCAAGGUUAAAACUUAAAUGAAUU
rnacentral:rRNA from 1 species